rnacentral:rRNA from 1 species
GAUGAACGCUGGCGGCGUGCCUAACACAUGCAAGUCGAACGGAGUCGUUUUGGAAAUCUCUUCGGAGAUGGAAUUCUCGACUUAGUGGCGGACGGGUGAGUAACGCGUGAGCAAUCUGCCUUUAAGAGGGGGAUAACAGUCGGAAACGGCUGCUAAUACCGCAUAAAGCAUUAAAUUCGCAUGUUUUUGAUGCCAAAGGAGCAAUCCGCUUUUAGAUGAGCUCGCGUCUGAUUAGCUAGUUGGCGGGGUAACGGCCCACCAAGGCGACGAUCAGUAGCCGGACUGAGAGGUUGACCGGCCACAUUGGGACGGAGACACGGCCCAGACUCCUACGGGAGGCAGCAGUGGGGAAUAUUGCGCAAUGGGGGAAACCCUGACGCAGCAACGCCGCGUGAUUGAAGAAGGCCUUCGGGUUGUAAAGAUCUUUAAUCAGGGACGAAACAAAUGACGGUACCUGAAGAAUAAGCUCCGGCUAACUACG